rnacentral:rRNA from 1 species
GAUCAAACUGAAGAGUUUGAUCCUGGCUCAGAUUAAACGCUAGCGGCAUGCCUUACACAUGCAAGUCGAACGGCAGCGGGCUCUUCGGAGUGCCGGCGA